rnacentral:rRNA from 1 species
UGGGAGCUUGCUCCCAUUUCUCAGCGGCGGACGGGUGAGUAACACGUGGGCAACCUGCCCUACAGACUGGGAUAACUCCGGGAAACCGGAGCUAAUACCGGGUAAUACAUAGCAUCGCAUGAUGCAACGUUGAAAGUUGGCCUUUGGCUAACACUGUAGGAUGGGCCCGCGGCGCAUUAGCUAGUUGGUAAGGUAACGGCUUACCAAGGCCACGAUGCGUAGCCGACCUGAGAGGGUGAUCGGCCACACUGGGACUGAGACACGGCCCAGACUCCUACGGGAGGCAGCAGUAGGGAAUCUUCCGCAAUGGACGAAAGUCUGACGGAGCAACGCCGCGUGAGUGACGAAGGCCUUCGGGUCGUAAAGCUCUGUUGUUAGGGAAGAACAAGUACCGUUCGAAUAGGGCGGUACCUUGACGGUACCUAACCAGAAAGCCACGGCUAACUACGUGCCAGCAGCCGCGGUAAUACGUAGGUGGCAAGCGUUGUCCGGAAUUAUUGGGCGUAAAGCGCGCGCAGGCGGUCUCUUAAGUCUGAUGUGAAAGCCCACGGCUCAACCGUGGAGGGCCAUUGGAAACUGGGGGACUUGAGUGCAGAAGAGGAGAGUGGAAUUCCACGUGUAGCGGUGAAAUGCGUAGAUAUGUGGAGGAACACCAGUGGCGAAGGCGGCUCUCUGGUCUGUAACUGACGCUGAGGCGCGAAAGCGUGGGGAGCGAACAGGAUUAGAUACCCUGGUAGUCCACGCCGUAAACGAUGAGUGCUAGGUGUUUGGGGGGUUCCACCCUCAGUGCUGAAGUUAACACAUUAAGCACUCCGCCUGGGGAGUACGACCGCAAGGUUGAAACUCAAAGGAAUUGACGGGGGCCCGCACAAGCAGUGGAGCAUGUGGUUUAAUUCGAAGCAACGCGAAGAACCUUACCAGGUCUUGACAUCCUCUGCCACUCCUAGAGAUAGGACGUUCCCCUUCCGGGGACAGAAUGACAGGUGGUGCAU